rnacentral:rRNA from 1 species
UAUUGCGCAAUGGGCGAAAGCCUGACGCUGCGACGCCGCGUGAGGGAUGAAGGUCUUCGGAUCGUAAAACUCUGUCAGCAGGGAAGAACGGUCACUGUGCUAAUCAGCAGAGAAUUGACGGUAACUUCAAAGGAAGCACCGGCUAACUCCGUGCCAGCAGCGGCGGUAAUACGGAGGGGGCGAGAGUUAAUCGGAAUUACUGGGCGUAAAGCGCUCGUAGGCGGUAUGUCAAGUCAAGGGUGAAAUCCCCGCGCUCAACGUGGGAACUGCCUUUGAAACUGGCAAACUGGAGUGUGUGAGAGGAUAGUGGAAUUCCAGGUGUAGGAGUGAAAUCCGUAGAUAUCUGGAGGAACAUCAGUGGCGAAGGCGACUAUCUGGCACAUAACUGACGCUGAGGAGCGAAAGCGUGGGUAGCAAACAGG